rnacentral:misc_RNA from 1 species
UGCAUCAAGAGAACAAACCCAAUACCAUAAUUUGCCCCCAUUAUGAAAAGAAAGCCAUCUAUCCUUCCAUACACGAAUUGUAAAACCAUCCCCCACUCAUCGUCGAAUGCUAGAUUCUAAAGCUUGCUUAGCUCGAAUGAUACUUCUCCAUAAAUAACUUGAUUGAUGACCAAGGGAUGCUUCCAAAAUUGAGUAGUUAGGAAAGUAUCAACUUUUUAGAACACGAGAUGCCAAGGAUAGGCGUUGUGUUAAAAUUCUCUACACAUGUUUAAACAACAUGGUGAGAUUAAAAUUUUGGAAUGUUUGAAAGCCCAAUCCUCCCUUGAAUUUUGCAUUUGGUAAUCUAUCCUAGCUACGCCAAUGAAUCUUUCUAACAUCACUACUUG